ACAAAAAAUGAAAAUAUCUAGAGAAAGGGGAAGGAGAACCGUGAGAGAGAGAGAGGGAGAGAGAGAAGAGGCAAAGCUUCUCCCUAAGGAAUUCAACAUCCAUGGAAUCUUGAAGAUGGUUGAAGAAGAUAGAAGAGAGAGGAAAGAUCAACCAAAAGCUUGGGAAAAAUUGAAGAGACUAAGGGAUGAACAAAGGUUUGGGUAAGGUCGAGACGAGGACAUUGUACCAUUACCACCGGGAACCGAUCACUGUAACCAACCAAGUGGU